rnacentral:rRNA from 1 species
AGGAUUAACGCUGGCGGUGUGCCUAAUACAUGCAAGUCGAAUGGUAGCAAUACCGAUGGCGAACGGGUGAGUAACACGUAGGUAACCUGUCUUUAAGCCGAGGAUAACCAUUGGAAACGAUGGAUAAUACUGGAUAGGACAUUUGAAGGCAUCUUUAGAUGUUUAAAGAUUUAUCACUUAGAGAGGGGCCUGCGGCGCAUUAGCUAGUUGGUGAGGUGAAGGCUUACCAAGGCGAUGAUGCGUAGCCGGACUGAGAGGUUGAACGGCCACAAUGGAACUGAGAACGGUCCAUACUCCUACGGGAGGCAGCAGUAGGGAAUUUUCGGCAAUGGGCGGAAGCCUGAACCCGAGCAACGCCGCGUGAACGAAGAAGUAUUUCGGUAUGUAAAGUUCUUUUAUUAGGGACGAAAAGACAGAUUGACGGUACCUAAUGAAUAAGCUCCGGCUAACUACGUGCCAGCAGCCGC